GUUGUUGCAGACGGAACACAAGCCCUCUCCAACGCUAACAUUUCAAGCGAAAGGAAGUAGGAGUGGCCGUUAUUGGAACGACGGAGCUGUUUUUUGUACCAUCAAAGCGCUCAAAAUCUUCCAUGGAGGAAAGUGUAUUGAUGCCAUUCAAAUCAAUUAUGAAGACAAGGAUGGGAACUCAAUUUGGUCUAAAAUCAAGGCGGAAAUGAUGUUGGAACUAGACGAAUACCUUAUUUCAGUUCACGGCUACCAUGGGAGCAUCUUUGAUAAAUAUGGGAAUCCAACCAACGUCAUUCGGUCUCUAACUUUUGAAACCAACCAAAGAACCUUGGGUUCGUUUAGGAUUGAAGACGGUAUCAAGUUUUCAUUCCCAACCACUGGACUCAUCAAGAUUGUUGGCUUCCAUGGGAGGUGUGGUUGGUACCUCGAUUCAAUCGGAUUCCACUUCGUUUCGAUAUCAAUUUCAGGAUAGAUUUUGUAUUUUGACAUUGGCUCGCAUAUGCAUUCCUUUGGAACUAUAAUGUUUUUGAUAUAUUUGCUUGAUAAAUGAAAGGAAAGAAGUGAGAAUUA